UUCUGAAAACAACCUUGGAGUAUCUUCUUCAUCUUCCCUGAGAGACUGAAUGGCUCUAGGCUCCAGGAGGAAAGAUGUUCCACCGCAGAGACUGAGAAGGAAAGAUGUACUGGACAAAAGAUGGGGAGACAAGGCAGACAAAAGUCAGCUUGUGGGACUAGUAAACUCUUCACAUUGUGUUUGAAUAUCAUGAUAUUGAUACCAUGAUACACCUACGUAGAUAUACAACAUAAACAGAUGCCAGUAUGGCAAGGUGGGGAUGCAGAAGGGAAGUAUAAACACCUCAAGGAAGGGUCACUAAUAUCCACUGAGAGCCUAUUAUAUUUUAUAAAUGCUAUCUCUGAUAGUCCUAAUAACCAUUUAAUGGUAGUAUUUGUUCCACUUUACAGUUGGAGGAAUUGUGGCUUAAAAGAGUCUAAGAGACAAAUCUGAGAUCACAUCGUGAUUUACUGCACACAUAGAGUCCCUUCCUUAGUUUUCAAAAUAAUGAAAAUUGCAGUUCUAUGCAUAAACGGCCCAUAGCAGAGAAAGCUGCACUCAGUCAAAAAGUUUUCUGGCUUCCCUUGUUAUAAUAAGUUGAUUGUUGGCUUCUAAGCACACCUUACCCAAAGGCCUAAAACAGCUACCACCACCUAGCUUUCCCCCACUUCUUUUCCAGAAAUAAAGGAAACAUACAGAAGUCCAAUUCAGAAAGUACCGAAAUCAAACAUCCAAUGAACUUUGUUCCCUGAUUUUCCAAAGCCAGAACCCAGUCAAUACAUGAACAAAACGAGAAGUUCAACAAAGAGAUAGAAAUCAUUAAAAAGAACCAAACAGAAAUUCUAGAGCUGAAGAAGAAUAGGAAGACUGAACUGAAAAUUUCAAUAGAGAGCUUCAACAGCAGACUCAAUCAAGCAGAAUAAAGAAUCAGCACACUCAAAGACAUGUCAUUUGAAAUUAUCCAGUUGGAGGAACAACAACAACAAAAACCCAAAAACCACAAAAUAGAAAAGAAAGAGUGAAGAAAGCCUAUGGGAUGUAUGGCAUAUCUUUAUGAAAAUGAAUAUAUGCAUUGUGGAAGUCUCAGUAGGAAAAGAAAGGGAAAGGGGCAGAAAAAUUAUUUAAAGAAAUAUGGCUCAAAACUUCCUACUCAUCAAUGGAUGGGUAAGGAAAAUGUGGUAUAUAUGUACAAUGGAGUAUUAUUCAGCCUUUAAAAAGAAAAAAAUCCUGCCAUUUGCAAUAACAUGGAUGAAUCUUGAGGACAUGCUAAAAAACAAACCAGGAAACAGACUUCAGGAGAGUAUGAACUAAGAAAAUUGCAUGCAGCUUCACUAUUUUUUCUCAGGGUUCCAGAGGAAACCUCUGAUUGAACAGAUAACAUAACAUUGCCUUUGACUGAAUUAGGAUAGGUUUUUAUACCUUGGCUUAUCAUGCUACUCUCACAGAGACUGAGCUCUUCCUGGAGAGACAGAAAACCCAGUCAGGGCCAGACUUCCUGCCAAGCCCCAAGCUGCCUAUGCAACAAGAUGUUAAUUGGGACUUACUAUCUUGGAACGCCCCUAAGACAAAAGAUGUUACCUUCAUAUUCUAAAAAGAGGAGGUAGGCCAUCUAACUGAGACUUACAGAUAACAACUGGUCCAGAGACCUUUGCUCCCAACACCCCAAGAUGUCAACAAUUUGAAAGGAAAUUCAUAGAAGGGAAUUCAAAGGUUUGGUGCAUUUGCUUUUCUACUCCUCUGUCUGUGAGGAAGUAAGUACACACCUCUCCACCAUGCCAAUUCAGACGCUAUUUAAACAGGUAUAGGAUUACUUUUUUUCUCAAAUAACAG